rnacentral:lncRNA from 1 species
AUGUUCAACAGUUCAAGGGUAGCAAUUCCAGUUGUCUUAGUUUAGAAACAAAGCAAGGCUGAAAACGAUACUAGAUGAUGAUCAAAUGACGAACGACUCUCAAAAGGUACGUUUCAGAUGGGAAGUAGAAAGUUCGACAUUUCCGUCCACAUUAUUGGUUUCUUCAUCAAUAAGAACGUCAUUGUGAAUUUUGAUAAAACACCUGUUGGAGGUGAACAACGUAAGAAAGUGACGCGAUAGAUUACUGAUAGUGUGGAUUUGAAGUGUGGGAUCAGCAAUCCAGCUCAGAAGGCUUAUUUUUCCAAGUUUCCUUGUUGAGUUUGAAAUUGUUU